rnacentral:misc_RNA from 1 species
AACUUUCGGCAAUGGAUCUCUUGGCUCUCGCAUCGAUGAAGAACGCAGCGAAAUGCGAUAAGUAAUGUGAAUUGCAGAAUCCAGUGAAUCAUCGAAUCUUUGAACGCACAUUGCGCCCGCCAGCAUUCUGGCGGGCAUGCCUGUCCGAGCGUCAUUUCAACCCUCAAGCACUGCUUGGCGUUGGGGCGCUACGCGCUAAGCGUAGGCCCCUAAAAUCAGUGGCGGGCCCGCCGUGGCUCCGGGCGUAGUAGCAACACCUCGCCCUGGGACCGCGGCGCGCUCCGGCCGUUAAAACCCCCACUAUACUGAAGGUUGACCUCGGAUCAGGUAGGAAUACCCGCUGAACUUAAGCAUAUCAAUAAGCGGAGGCU